UUCAGUAUUCUUCCGAGUGUCAAACUUAAUUUUCACCAUUUGUCAGAGCAAUGUUUUCAGAACCUUAUCAUGUUGAACUAGACCUUCUUUUCCAUCACAGUUCAGACCAAUAUCACGUGGCCUAUUAAACAUCAAGUGUGAAGAAAAUAGUGGCCCCCCACGUCCCAUGCCUAAUGUCUUCCUUUUGGCAGAAUUUCGUUCUUAGUCCAAUGGGCGCCUUGUUCUGUCCUGAGCUUAUGAUUUUGUCAAUGGCAAAGGUUCAAGAGACAAGUAGAGUCCAAAAGCAAGUGUGAGGGCCAAAGUGGCUCUGAGAAAUCAUUUUACCUAAGAAGCUGAUGAUGUUCUUGGCGGCACUGGCAACGGAUUUUGGAGUCUCAGAGAACUAG
rnacentral:lncRNA from 1 species